GGGUAGUGUCAUCGGGUCUGGCGUAGGCAGGCCUAGGGCUUGGAAGAAUUGCGGGCCCUCGGUGGGGUUGGUAAUCUUGAAGGUUUUCCCCUCUUUGGUGCGCAGCAGUGCUCUUGAAUUGGUCCAUCUAUAGGGAAUGCCAGCGGUUUGCAGGGGCUGCGUGAUGGUGCGCAUUGAUUUCCGCCAUAGGAGUGUGGCUUUACUGAGAUCCUGAUAGAAUGUGAGUGAGUGAUUCUCGAAUUGGAACGGGGUUUUCCCCCGCAGAGUCUGCAGUAAUCUUUGUUUAUCCGCAAAGGAUCGGCAACAGAGGAUAACAUCCCUAGGCUGGGAGUUUGGUGUUCGCAAGGGUGGUGCGAUACGGUAUAGUCCGUCAUAGGCAAACUGUUUAGCAUGCUUAGUUGGGAGGAUGGCUGCGGUGAGUUGUCUGAUGAGGUGAGGUAGUUCUUCUGCUGGUACGGUAUCCUCCACUCCUCUUAUCUUGAUGUUGUUUUGUCUGCUUUUAUCUUCCAUAGCAUCCAUUCUGGCUGCUAUUUGUGAGUGGGAGGUUUGUAGCUGCUUUAUAGCUUCCCCUUGGGUGGCCAUAUUUUGUUUGAUGUCUGCAGAGUCCUCCUCGGAUACCC